CUGGGCUACGGGGACAUGUACCCACAGACGUGGCUGGGUAUGAUAGUGGGGGCGCUGUGUGCUCUGGCCGGCGUGCUGACCAUCGCCAUGCCCGUCCCCGUGAUCGUCAAUAAC
rfam:Poecilia formosa, whole genome shotgun sequence.